AAUGAACGUUGGCGGCGUGGAUUAGGCAUGCAAGUCGAGCGAGAACCGGCCCUUCGGGGCUGGGGAAAGCGGCAAACGGGGUAGUAAUGCGUCGGUACGUGCCCUCAGGUCGGGGAUAGCCAGGGGAAACCCUGAUUAAUACCCGAUGAUCUCGAGAGAGCAAAGGUCCGCUGCCGGAGGAGCGGCCGACGUGGUAUCAGGUAGUUGGUGAGGUAAUGGCUCACCAAGCCUUAGACGCCUAGGGGGUGUGAGAGCACGACCCCCACCACUGGGACUGAGAUACUGCCCAGACACCUACGGGUGGCUGCAGUCGAGAAUCUUCCGCAAUGGGCGAAAGCCUGACGGAGCGACGCCGCGUGCGGGAUGAAGGCCCUUGGGUUGUAAACCGCUGUCAGGGGGAUGAAAGCCGCAAGGCUUGACAGAGCCCCAGAGGAAGCACGGGCUAAGUUCGUGCCAGCAGCCGCGGUAAGACGAACUGUGCGAACGUUAUUCGGAAUCACUGGGCUUACGA
rnacentral:rRNA from 1 species